rnacentral:rRNA from 1 species
UACGUAGGGUGCAAGCGUUAAUCGGAAUUACUGGGCGUAAAGCGUGCGCAGGCGGUUUUGUAAGUCUGUCGUGAAAGCCCCGGGCUCAACCUGGGAAUUGCGAUGGAGACUGCAAGGCUUGAAUCUGGCAGAGGGGGUAGAAUUCCACGUGUAGCAGUGAAAUGCGUAGAGAUGUGGAGGAACACCGAUGGCGAAGGCAGCCCCCUGGGAUAACACUGACGCUCAUGCACGAAAGCGUGGGGAGCAAACAGG